UUAAAUGAGUUAUGGGUUGACCCAACUCAUUUUGUUAAAUGAGUUAUGGGUUGACCCAACUCAUUUUGUUAAAUGGGUUGGGUCAACCCAUAACUCAUUUAAUUUGAUGGGUUGAGUCAACCCAUAACU
rnacentral:pre_miRNA from 14 species